AAUGAACGCUGGCGGCAGGCCUAACACAUGCAAGUCGAACGGAUCCUUCGGGAUUAGUGGCGGACGGGUGAGUAACGCGUGGGAACGUGCCCUUUGGUCCGGAAUAGCCUCGGGAAACUGGGAGUAAUACCGGAUAAGCCCUUCGGGGGAAAGAUUUACCGCCAAUGGAUCGGCCCGCGUUGGAUUAGGUAGUUGGUGGGGUAAUGGCCUACCAAGCCGACGAUCCAUAGCUGGUUUGAGAGGAUGAUCAGCCACACUGGGACUGAGACACGGCCCAGACUCCUACGGGAGGCAGCAGUGGGGAAUAUUGGACAAUGGGCGCAAGCCUGAUCCAGCCAUGCCGCGUGAGUGAUGAAGGCCUUAGGGUUGUAAAGCUCUUUCAACGGUGAAGAUAAUGACGGUAACCGUAGAAGAAGCCCCGGCUAACUUCGUGCCAGCCGCCGCGGUAA
rnacentral:rRNA from 1 species